UACAUAGUCUAAAUAGUUCAUACUACGUGUCCGAUCAUAACAAAAUCAUCCUUAGACUUUGUCCUACCACCUAGAUUUGGCCCUACCAUCUAGAGAAAAACAAGACUAAAAAAAAAUCAUAUGGUCACUAGGAGGAUUAACCGAUUAAGUGCCUCUAUACUUGACCACCAUAAAAUCAUAUACCACACAGAAAAAGUUAACUCACAAGUGACAAAAACUGAGAGACCAAUUUAACCAAAUUCCCACAUAACAAACAAAAAAUCCCACUAAAAUCAAUAAUCACCCCCUUUAAACCGAUUCUCUUUAAAAGAAAUCCAUCUUGCAAAAGGUGCGAGGAGAAAACCAAUAUUUUAUGAGAAGUCCGGCGAACCCCAAUAAAGAGAAGCGUCAAAUUUUUAGUGGAGAUCUAGAUAUCACAAAGGGUGUGGUGUGGGUCAUGUUGGCCAUGCUUAGUGAGAAAAGAGUGCACCCAUGUUUGUUUGUAUACCAAAAGGAUUACUCAAGCAUGUGAAGUGUAUUAUAACUCUAUGCUUAAACUUGGCUUUGAGAUGUUAAAUAAUAAACUCAUCUUGAAUUAAAAUAUUCACCAUGUUAUUUGAA